AGAGUUUGAUCCUGGCUCAGAGCGAACGCUGGCGGCAGGCCUAACACAUGCAAGUCGAACGAACUCUUCGGAGUUAGUGGCGGACGGGUGAGUAACACGUGGGAACGUGCCUUUAGGUUCGGAAUAGCUCCUGGAAACGGGUGGUAAUGCCGAAUGUGCCCUUCGGGGGAAAGAUUUAUCGCCUUUAGAGCGGCCCGCGUCUGAUUAGCUAGUUGGUGGGGUAAUGGCCCACCAAGGCUACGAUCAGUAGCUGGUCUGAGAGGAUGACCAGCCACAUUGGGACUGAGACACGGCCCAAACUCCUACGGGAGGCAGCAGUGGGGAAUCUUGCGCAAUGGGCGAAAGCCUGACGCAGCCAUGCCGCGUGUAUGAUGAAGGUCUUAGGAUUGUAAAAUACUUUCACCGGUGAAGAUAAUGACUGUAGCCGGAGAAGAAGCCCCGGCUAACUUCGUGCCAGCAGCCGCGGUAAUACGAAGGGGGCUAGCGUUGCUCGGAAUUACUGGGCGUAAAGGGAGCGUAGGCGGACAUUUAAGUCAGAGGUGAAAUCCCGGAGCUUAACUUCGGAACUGCCUUUGAUACUGGGUGUCUUGAGUGUGAGAGAGGUAUGUGGAACUCCGAGUGUAGAGGUGAAAUUCGUAGAUAUUCGGAAGAACACCAGUGGCGAAGGCGACAUACUGGCUCAUUACUGACGCUGAGGCUCGAAAGCGUGGGGAGCAAACAGGAUUAGAUACCCUGGUAGUCCACGCCGUAAACGAUGAUUGCUAGUUGUCGGGAAGCUUGCUUCUCGGUGACGCAGCUAA
rnacentral:rRNA from 1 species